rnacentral:rRNA from 1 species
GACGAACGCUGGCGGCGUGCUUAACACAUGCAAGUCGAACGGUGAAGCGCCUUCCUUUUUGGUUGGUGUGGAUGAGUGGCGAACGGGUGAGUAACACGUGAGUAACCUGCCCCCUUCUUCUGGAUAACCGCAUGAAAGUGUGGCUAAUACGGGAUAUUCUGGGUCUGUCGCAUGAUGGGUCUGGGAAAGAUAUUGUUUCGGUGGGGGAUGGGCUCGCGGCCUAUCAGCUUGUUGGUGGGGUGAUGGCCUACGAAGGCGGUGACGGGUAGCCGGCUUGAGAGGGUGGACGGUCAGACUGGGAGUGAGACAAGGCGCGGACUGCUACGGGGGGCAGAAGUGGGGGAUAGGGCACAGUGGGCGAAAGCCUGAUGCAGCGGCGCCGCGGAAGGGAUGAAGGCCUUCGGGUUGUGAACCUCUUUCGCUAGUGAAGCAGGCCUGCCUCGUACGUGGGUGGGUUGACGGUAGCUGGAUAAGAAGCGCCGGCUAACUACGUG